rnacentral:rRNA from 1 species
GAUGAACGCUGGCGGCGUGCCUAAUACAUGCCAGUCGAGCGAACGGACGAGAAGCUUGCUUUUCUGAUGUUAGCGGCGGACGGGUGAGUAACACGUGGAUAACCUACCUAUAAGACUGGGAUAACUUCGGGAAACCGGAGCUAAUACCGGAUAAUAUUUUGAACCGCAUGGUUCAAAAGUGAAAGACGGUCUUGCUGUCACUUAUAGAUGGAUCCGCGCUGCAUUAGCUAGUUGGUAAGGUAACGGCUUACCAAGGCAACGAUGCAUAGCCGACCUGAGAGGGUGAUCGGCCACACUGGAACUGAGACACGGUCCAGACUCCUACGGGAGGCAGCAGUAGGGAAUCUUCCGCAAUGGGCGAAAGCCUGACGGAGCAACGCCGCGUGAGGGAUGAAGGUCUUCGGAUCGUAAACCUCUGUUAUUAGGGAAGAACAUAUGUGUAAGUAACUGUGCACAUCUUGACGGUACCUAAUCAGAAAGCAACGGCUAACUACGUG